GAGUAUUUUCAGAGAUCCAGGCUGUCCUGGAUCUAUAGCACUAUAUUUAAAUAACAUUUUAUUUUUUUUCUUCUAGCAAGAUAAAUGUGUUACCGAGCCACUAUAUACAAGCGAUUUCAAUUAUGAAAGCACAAGUGAAAUCAGGCAUUUUCAAUGUUUUUUUUUACUAAAAUGAGAAAGCGAAUUUCACAUUUAAAGCCAAAGUAGCCGAACUGUAAAGCUUCUCCAAGACAG